CCCUUAGAUGUUCUGGGCCGCACGCGCGCUACACUGAUGCAUUCAACGAGCACCCGCUGGGCCGAGAGGUCCGGCUAAUCUUUGAACGUGCAUCGUGCUGGGGAUAGAUGAUUGCAAUUAUUCAUCUUCAACGAGGAAUUCCUAGUAAACGCAAGUCAUCAGCUUGCAUUGAUUACGUCCCUGCCCUUUGUACACACCGCCCGUCGCACCUACCGAUUGAAUGGUCCGGUGAAAUCUUGGACGCGGACUUGCGAUGUUAAUUCGGAGCUUGACUGUGAAAGUUAAUUAAACCUUACCAUUUAGAGGAAGGUGAAGUCGUAACA
rnacentral:rRNA from 1 species